AGAGUUUGAUCCUGGCUCAGGACGAACGCUGGCGGCGUGCUUAACACAUGCAAGUCGAACGAUGAUGCCCAGCUUGCUGGGUGGAUUAGUGGCGAACGGGUGAGUAACACGUGAGUAACCUGCCCCUGACUCUGGGAUAAGCGUUGGAAACGACGUCUAAUACUGGAUAUGAUCACUGGCCGCAUGGUCUGGUGGUGGAAAGAUUUUUUGGUUGGGGAUGGACUCGCGGCCUAUCAGCUUGUUGGUGAGGUAAUGGCUCACCAAGGCGACGACGGGUAGCCGGCCUGAGAGGGUGACCGGCCACACUGGGACUGAGACACGGCCCAGACUCCUACGGGAGGCAGCAGUGGGGAAUAUUGCACAAUGGGCGAAAGCCUGAUGCAGCAACGCCGCGUGAGGGAUGACGGCCUUCGGGUUGUAAACCUCUUUUAGUAGGGAAGAAGCGAAAGUGACGGUACCUGCAGAAAAAGCACCGGCUAACUACGUGCCAGCAGCCGCGGUAAUACGUAGGGUGCAAGCGUUGUCCGGAAUUAUUGGGCGUAAAGAGCUCGUAGGCGGUUUGUCGCGUCUGCUGUGAAAUCCCGAGGCUCAACCUCGGGCUUGCAGUGGGUACGGGCAGACUAGAGUGCGGUAGGGGAGAUUGGAAUUCCUGGUGUAGCGGUGGAAUGCGCAGAUAUCAGGAGGAACACCGAUGGCGAAGGCAGAUCUCUGGGCCGUAACUGACGCUGAGGAGCGAAAGCAUGGGGAGCGAACAGGAUUAGAUACCCUGGUAGUCCAUGCCGUAAACGUUGGGCGCUAGAUGUAGGGACCUUUCCACGGUUUCUGUGUCGUAGCUAACGCAUUAAGCGCCCCGCCUGGGGAGUACGGCCGCAAGGCUAAAACUCAAAGGAAUUGACGGGGGCCCGCACAAGCGGCGGAGCAUGCGGAUUAAUUCGAUGCAACGCGAAGAACCUUACCAAGGCUUGACAUACACCGGAAACGGCCAGAGAUGGUCGCCCCCUUGUGGUCGGUGUACAGGUGGUGCAUGGUUGUCGUCAGCUCGUGUCGUGAGAUGUUGGGUUAAGUCCCGCAACGAGCGCAACCCUCGUUCUAUGUUGCCAGCGGGUUAUGCCGGGGACUCAUAGGAGACUGCCGGGGUCAACUCGGAGGAAGUGGGGAUGACGUCAAAUCAUCAUGCCCCUUA
rnacentral:rRNA from 1 species